GGAGUUUGGGCCGUGUCUCAGUCCCAAUGUGGCCGAUCACCCUCUCAGGUCGGCUACCGAUCGUCGACUUGGUGGGCCGUUACCUCACCAACUAUCUAAUCGGACGCGAGCCCACCCCUUACCGGAUUGCUCCUUUGACCCCUGGAUGAUGUCAUCCUGUGGUCUUAUGCGGUAUUAGUACAACUUUCGCUGUGUUAUCCCCCUCGUAAGGGACAGGUUGCUCACGCGUUACUCACCCGUCCGCCGCUAGAACAUUACAUCUUCAAAUCCAUCCGAAAACUUCAUAUCUGUCGCAAUGUCCCCGCUCGACUUGCAUGUGUUAGGCACGCCGCCAGC
rnacentral:rRNA from 1 species